rnacentral:tRNA from 1 species
UCCCUUGCAGUCCAGUGUUUAAGACACUGCACUUCCAUUGCACAGGCUCAGGUUUGAUCCCUAGCUGGGGAA